rnacentral:rRNA from 1 species
UACAGAGGUCUCAAGCGUUGUUCGGAAUCACUGGGCGUAAAGGGUGCGUAGGCGGCGAGGAAAGUCAGAUGUGAAAUCCGAGGGCUCAACCCUCGAAAUAGCAUCCGAUACUUCCCUGCUCGAGAUUUGUAGAGGAGUCUGGAACUCUCGGUGUAGCGGUGAAAUGCGUGGAUAUCGAGAAGAACGCUCGUAGCGAAGGCGAGGCUCUGGGCAAGUUCUGGACGCUGAGGCACGAAGGCUAGGGGAGCAAAACGGG